GCAUAUCAAUAAGCGGAGGAAAAGAAACCAACAGGGAUUGCCUCAGUAACGGCGAGUGAAGCGGCAACAGCUCAAAUUUGAAAUCUGGCUCUUUCAGGGUCCGAGUUGUAAUUUGUAGAAGAUGCUUUGGGUGUAGCUCCGGUCUAAGUUCCUUGGAACAGGACGUCAUAGAGGGUGAGAAUCCCGUACGUGACUGGGUGCUUUCGCUCGUGUAAAGCUCUUUCGACGAGUCGAGUUGUUUGGGAAUGCAGCUCAAAAUGGGUGGUAAAUUUCAUCUAAAGCUAAAUAUUGGCCAGAGACCGAUAGCGCACAAGUAGAGUGAUCGAAAGAUGAAAAGCACUUUGGAAAGAGAGUUAAACAGUAUGUGAAAUUGUUGAAAGGGAAGCGCUUGCAACCAGACUUGCGCGCUGCUGAUCAUCCGAGGUUUUCCCCGGUGCACUCGGCAGCGUUCAGGCCAGCAUCGGUUUUGGUGGGCGGAUAAAGGCCUUGGGAAUGUAGCUUCUUUCGGGGAGUGUUAUAGCCCUCGGUGCAAUGCGCCCUACCGGGACCGAGGACCGCGCUUCGGCUAGGAUGCUGGCGUAAUGGUUGUAAGCGACCCGUCUUGAAACAUGGACC
rnacentral:rRNA from 1 species